UAUGUGAUCGUCUCUCGCAUAUCAAUAAGCGGAGGAAAAGAAACUAACAAGGAUUCCCCUAGUAACGGCGAGUGAAGCGGGAAGAGCUCAAAUUUGAAAUCUUAAAGGGUUUCCCUUUACGAAUUGUAGUUUAAAGAAGUGUUUUCUGUUGAGGUUUUGGUAAAAGUUCUUUGGAAUAGGACAUCAUAGAGGGUGAGAAUCCCGUAUUUGACCUUUACUUUCAACUUUGUGAUACACUUUCAAAGAGUCGGAUUGUUUGGGAAUGCAGUCCAAAAUGGGUGGUAAAUUUCAUCUAAAGCUAAAUAUUGGCGAGAGACCGAUAGCGAACAAGUACCGUGAGGGAAAGAUGAAAAGAACUUUGAAAAGAGAGUUAAACAGUACGUGAAAUUGUCAAAAGGGAAGCGUUUGACACCAGUGUUGUUUUUCUGAAAAUCAAUUAAAGAACUGUUUAUGCUAAGUUGUUUAGACUUUAUCAGCUAACUGUUUAGUUUUGAGCUUUUCUUUAAUGCACUUUUCAGUUAACAAGUCAACAUCAAUUUCUUUUGCUGUAAAAAAGCUUGAGGAAGGUGGCUUGAGAUUCGUCUUAAGUGUUUAUAGCCUCUUGCCUAUGCAGUCGGAGAGAUUGAGGUCUGCAGCGUAGAUCCUUCGGGGCUAAAUGCAUUUGUGCUAAGUUAUAGCAUUUUAUAGACAACUUGUUGACUAUGAUUUGUCUUGUAGCUUACUCGCUUAUGUUAUUUUACCUACGCUUAGGAUGUUGACGCGCGUGUGUGCGUG
rnacentral:rRNA from 1 species